GCAUCAUAGAGGACAUUCCAGGUGACACGCUGGUGACAGGGACUUUCAAGACACAGCAGUGGGACACAGAUCGGCAUGACUUCCUUCAAUCCGCCCCUGGUUUGGGGAUGUUUGUGGCUGUUACAACUUACAAUGAUGAGGACCGUGAAGAAAAAUUUCGAAUAACCAGUGAAGAUACAAAUAACAAUGUUUUAUGGUGG